AGUGAACGCUGGCGGCAGGCCUAACACAUGCAAGUCGAACGGCAGCACAAGAGAGCUUGCUCUCUGGGUGGCGAGUGGCGGACGGGUGAGGAAUGCAUCGGAAUCUGCCCAUUUGUGGGGGAUAACCUCGGGAAACCGGGACUAAUACCGCAUACGACCUACGGGUGAAAGCAGGGGAUCUUCGGACCUUGCGCAGAUGGAUGAGCCGAUGCCGGAUUAGCUAGUUGGAGGGGUAAAGGCCCACCAAGGCGACGAUCCGUAGCUGGUCUGAGAGGAUGAUCAGCCACACUGGGACUGAGACACGACCCAGACUCCUACGGGAGGCAGCAGUGGGGAAUAUUGGACAAUGGGCGCAAGCCUGAUCCAGCCAUGCCGCGUGUGUGAAGAAGGCCUUCGGGUUGUAAAGCACUUUUGUUGGGAAAGAAAAGCAGCCGGUUAAUACCCGGUUGUCAUGACGGUACCCAAAGAAUAAGCACCGGCUAACUUCGUG
rnacentral:rRNA from 1 species